rnacentral:rRNA from 1 species
GUUGUGGAUGAACGAACAAAGCUUCUAGUUUAGGCAGCAUCGCUGGUAGCUGUGGUUCAGGCCUGGAUCCUGUUGGUCCAUAACAGAGAUGUCCGUCGGAAUGCGAAACCUCUCAUCCGGUAUGGUCCGAUGUUAAUCCGGGAUCAGGAGAGGAUAGCAAAUCUGAACUACAUUUACAACUACAACGACACAGAGGCUCCGUGGAUGCUUCGAAUGAGAAGAGUACAUUUCGCCAGGCUUGUGCAAACGUUUAGAAGCAGGGGGCUGCUAGAAGAUAGCAUCCACAUCACUGUGGAAGAGCAAGUGGCCGUGUUCCUUCAUAUUGUUGGUCAUAACCAGAGGUUUAGGGUUAUAUACAACACCUUUAGGAGAUCAAUGGAGAACAUCUCCAGGUACUUCGAGAAAGUGUUGUAUGCUGUUGGGGAGCUCAUAGGAGAGAUGGUCAGGUCACCAACCGACUGGACUCCUAUCAAGAAUCGCACAAGCCCAAGAUGGUAUCCAUAUUUCAAGGUGAGCACUGACAGUAUGUAG